GCGAGCGCUCCCGGGCCGCGCGAGCCUCUGUGCUGCCGGCGGGAUGCAGCGGGCGUGCGGCCAGGGCGCGGGGCCGCCACCUGCUGGGGAGCCAGGAACAGCGCUGUCUACAAGUUCACCAGCCAGGACACCUCCGACUACUUGAGAACACACGUGUGAUGGUGUAAUUUCUGCUUUUCUGAAAGAACUCGGAGGAGACUUGAUAGAGGAGCUUGGAGAACAUCUCCGUCAGGACACAGUCCCUGCAGUCCUUGAGCCUCAUCGAGAUCAGGAACCCUUCCCAGAGCCUGGAGAACGUCUGCCACUGGGCUUGCCUGCAGCAGAAGCCAGACACAGACCACGACAAGUACCACGAUCAUGCCAUUUUCUUCACUCGACAGGACUUCGGGCUGUCAGGCAUACAGGUAAGCUGCCCUCAGGUGAAGAAUUGUGGUGGAAAGGUAGUGGGAGGAGUGUGGUGAGGAGCCAUUGGCUUUGCCAGAUGCACCUGUGCACUUGGCCCAUCCCAGGAAGGAGUGUCCAGUGAGGGCCUCUAGGCCAGUGUUGGCAAUCCCACCACACCCCAGGGGUGGUGAAAUGGGAAGGGACUGGGCCAGGAUUGCUGAGACCAGAUUGGGUUUCUCCAGGUUUAUUUUAGAGAUUGCAGGAAAAAAGAUCUGAGCAUGUUUCCAUCCUUUGCAGAUUGAACUUAUAUUCAAAGACGUAAACUGUAUGAAAGGGCAGAUCUAAAAGCAGAAAUGGGCACAUCUACAAUCCCCAUUGAAGAGAUAUAGGUGUCUUUUUCAGUGCUGGCCCUUGGGCACUCAACCUUGACAUGUAGCUGAUUUGGAUCUUCUUGGUGGAGGUCUCUGCAAGGUUCUGGAAGUGUCAGAGAAGAAGAACUUGAAGAUCACCAUCAGGCAGAGAAUGUGGAUCCUCAGCCCUCUGAGAGCCGCUGGCUGAAGUGUCUGCACAAGGACUCCCCGGAACUGGAGCUGGGAGGAGGAGUGUGUUUCCAUGGACAGUCCUCAUCCGACAUGGAGGAGUCAGACCCUCCCUUCAGUCAGGAGCUGCCCAGAAAAAGGAAAUGGAGCCCGAGCCUGGCCCAGCUGUUGCACAAAUGUGACAUCCCAGACUUGGGCACUCCCAGGGGCACCUGGCCACCCCAGAAGGUUGGUGAUAGGGAAUAUUGCUUC